CGAAAGUAAGACUAAUACCCAAUGACGUCUCUAGAAGACAUCUGAAAGGGAUUAAAGAUUCAUCGGUAACGGAUGGGGAUGCGUCCGAUUAGGUAGUAGGCGGGGUAACGGCCCACCUAGCCUUCGAUCGGUAGGGGUUCUGAGAGGAAGGUCCCCCACAUUGGAACUGAGACACGGUCCAAACUCCUACGGGAGGCAGCAGUGAGGAAUAUUGGUCAAUGGGCGCAAGCCUGAACCAGCCAAGUAGCGUGAAGGAUGACUGCCCUAUGGGUUGUAAACUUCUUUUAUGCGGGAAUAACCUCGACCAUGUAUGGUCGUUUGCAUGUACCGCAAGAAAAAGCAUCGGCUAAUUCCGUG
rnacentral:rRNA from 1 species